GCCUACAGCCAUGCCACUCUGAACACGCCCGAUCUCGUCUGAUCUCGGAAGUUAAGCAGGGUCCGGCCCAGUGAGUACUUGGAUGGGAGACCACCUAGGAAGACCAGGUGCUACAGGUG
rnacentral:rRNA from 1 species